AGGAAGUGAACCAGGCAGCGUCCGAGAUGGCUUCGGAAGUCUACAUCGGGACGUGUGACUGGGCCCUGAAAAGCUCUGGUGCCAGCAUCGACAUGCAGAGAACUUCUGAGACCUACGACUACAAAGAGAAUUGAGGCUGCAGGGUUUUAUGGUUCUUUCGCACUGCCAACCCUCCUGAUACUAUUUUGCAGCCGGAUGUUUCCCCAGGAAACUGCUGGCCUUUACAAGGGCAUCAGGGCCAGGUGGUCAUCAGGUUGCCAGCACAAGUCCAUCUCACUGCCGUCACUGUGCA